CGCUAUCACUCCUACGGGGAGGCAGCAGUGGGGGAAUAUUGGACAAUGGGGGGAACCCUGAUCCAGCCAUGCCGCGUGUGUGAAGAAGGCCUUAUGGUUGUAAAGCACUUUAAGCGAGGAGGAGGCUACUGAGACUAAUACUCUUGGAUAGUGGACGUUACUCGCAGAAUAAGCACCGGCUAACUCUGUGCCAGCAGCCGCGGUAAUACAGAGGGUGCGAGCGUUAAUCGGAUUUACUGGGCGUAAAGCGUGCGUAGGCGGCUUUUAAGUCGGAUGUGAAAUCCCCGAGCUUAACUUGGGAAUUGCAUUCGAUACUGGGAAGCUAGAGUAUGGGAGAGGAUGGUAGAAUUCCAGGUGUAGCGGUGAAAUGCGUAGAGAUCUGGAGGAAUACCGAUGGCGAAGGCAGCCAUCUGGCCUAAUACUGACGCUGAGGUACGAAAGCAUGGGGAGCAAACAGGAUUAGAUACCCUGGUAG
rnacentral:rRNA from 1 species